UACGAAGGUGGCAAGCGUUGUUCGGAUUCACUGGGCGUACAGGGUGUGUAGGCGGUUUGGUAAGCCUUCUGUUAAAGCUUCGGGCCCAACCCGGAAAGCGCAGAGGGUACUGCCAGGCUAGAGGACGGGAGAGGAGCGCGGAAUUCCCGGUGUAGCGGUGAAAUACGUAGAGAUCGGGAGGAAGGCCGGUGGCGAAGGCGGCGCUCUGGAACGUUACUGACGCUGAGACACGAAAGCGUGGGGAGCAAACAGG
rnacentral:rRNA from 1 species